UGAGACUUGGCAUGGGAAAGUGAGUGGGAUAUUGACAAGAACCAACUGUAUUCCUAGAAAAAAUGGAUGAGUCUUAAAGCCGGUCUCCCCAGUAAGACCGUCAGCAUCAUUUAGGACAGAGAUGAAUUCCUACAUUCCCUUCAACUCUCCAAAGCUUCUCUCCUUUCUAAUUUUUGUGGCAGAUGUGUAGAGAGUUCAAGAACUAUCGGGUGAAUUACAAUGUCUUGUUAUGCUAUUUCAAUAACAGAACAGUGGUUACAGAAAUGUUCUGAUGGUGCCUGGCAUUGUACCAAGUCCUGCAUACGCUACCUCAGUCAAUCCUCAAGCCACUCAGGAGGACAAAGUUGUGAUUCCUGUUUCACAGGUGACUAGAGCUGUGAAGCAACACACCUUAGCACACUGCUACAGAAUCCAACCCAGGCCUGGCCCUGCCCAGACAGGUGUUCUGCACCCUCCUUUGUUCCUGUUGCUGGGCUCCAAGGAGGAAUCUGGUAGGUGUGAGUCUGGUGGGAGUGAGCUACAUGGGGUCUUCAAUCAAUUAGCUGAGGCAGAAGAAGAAUCCAGAGCUCCAGGGAUGAGCUACUGGGGCAAGAAUUCUUGGGUCAUGGAUUUGUGA
rnacentral:lncRNA from 1 species